AUCUCUAGAUUGAAUUACGCGGCGCUCACCCUCAUUCCUAAGGUCAAAGGGGCUGACCUGAUUUCCCAGUUUAUGCCCAUUGCCUUAAUAAAUAAUUUUGCAAAGAUACCGGCUAAGGGUCUGGCAACCAGGCUAUGUCCGAUCGCCCAUCGCGUCAUUAACCCUUUUCAAUCUGCGUUUAUUAAGGGUAGAUUUAUUCUGGAUGGUGUUCUAUGCUUGCAUGAGAUUGUCCACGACUUGAAAACCAAGGGCACUAAGGCAGUGGUACUCAAACUUGGCUUCGAGAAGGCUUACGACUCGGUGAGCUGGAAUUUUCUUCGCCAAGUCCUUCUUGCUAAAGGUUUCGAGGGCGCGGUGGUUCACCAUCUUAUGCAGCUGGUCUCGGGAGGCCACACCGCUUUGGCGGUUAAUGGGCAGAUUAGUAAUUUCUGUGCCAAUGGUAGGGGCCUUAGACAAGGAGACCCAGCUUCCCCCUUCUCUUUAAUUUUGUUGCGGGUGCUCUCUCUCAUAUCCUUUCUCGAGCAGCUCUCGCUAGUCACAUUACGCCUGUUAAUUCUCACUUGA
rnacentral:rRNA from 1 species